GGGCUCGUGGUCUAGUAGCUAUGACGUUCGCUUGACGUGCGAAAGAUCAAGGGUGCGAAUCCCUUCGGGCCCA
rnacentral:tRNA from 1 species